UCACCGGUGUCCGGGAAAAAUGGCGUCUGAAGAACAGUGCUCGGUACCACUUCGAUGGCGGUCGAUAUCGCUAACCCACAUAGAGUUCCCUGCUGGUGAUCUGACUGGACAAAUGUUGGCCUACACCAGCCUGCUGCCCAUAGCGAUCCUCGUAGGCUUUGUCACCCUCAUAGUGUUCAAGCGUGAACUGCACACGAUCUCCUCCUUCGGUGGGCUCGUCCUGAACGAAGGUGUGAAUUGGCUGCUGAAGCAUAUUCUACGGGAGCCCCGCCCAUGUGAAGGAGCUCACACAACCCUGACAACAGAGUAUGGGAUGCCCUCCAGUCAUUCCCAGUUCAUCUGGUUUUUUGUUGUUUACUUCUUUCUUUUCCUUUAUUUAAGAAUGCAUCAAACGAACAACGCUCGGUGUGUGGAGCUGCUGUGGAGACACAUACUGUCCAUCACCUUGUUGGGCGUGGCCUUAUCAGUGUCAUACAGCAGGGUGUACCUGUUGUACCACACUUGGAGUCAGGUCUUCUAUGGGGGAGUGGCCGGUAGCACCAUAGGAGUAGUCUGGUUCUUCUUCACACAGGAGGUGCUGACACCGCUAUUCCCCAAGAUAGCAGCAUGUGUGUCUCCAUUUUUUAUUUUGUCCCACCUCUCUCGCCAUCCUUGACUGCUGACAGGCCGAUAUCAGAGUUCUUUCUGGUGCGGGACACAAGCCUGAUCCCCAACAUCCUUUGGUUUGAGUACACAGUGACCAGGUCAGAGGCGAGAAACAGACAACGGAAGCUUGGAACAAAGCUUCAGUGAUCUCAGCAGUUCCUUGGAGAAAUUGAGUAAAGGAACAUACACACACACUCUCACUCACUCACUCAUUAAAAAACACACUGGAGAAUCAAUUAUCUUCUGGACUGACCUGGUUGAAAUGGUAUAAAGGCCAUCGAUUUACAGGUGGACCAAAAGAGUGUCUGGACUCGGCCCGGAUUCCACAGCCUUAGCAAGUCCGUCCAUAUGCCUCUCCUUGUAUAGCUUGCCGAAAUGCUCCCCCAAUGCAUGCAAGACUGUGCAAGAGGUAUACUAUUUAAUGAUAAAUUAAUAUAAACUCAGCAAAAAAAGAAACAUCCUCUCACUGUCAACUGCGUUUAUUUUCAGAAAACUUAACUUGUGUAAAUAUUUGUCUGAACAUAACGAGAUUCAACAACUGAGACAUAAACUGAACAAGUUCCAAUGUCAUGUGACUAACAAAUGGAAUGUGUCAAAGGGGGUGUCAAAAUCAAAAGUAACAGUCAGUAUCUGGUGUGGCCACCUGCUGCAUUAAGUACUGAAGUGCAUCUCCUCCUCAUGGACUGCACCAGAUUUGCCAGUUCUUGCUGUGAGAUGUUACCCCACUCUUCCACCAAGGCACCUGCA